AUUGAACGCUGGCGGCAGGCCUAACACAUGCAAGUCGAACGGCAGCACAGUUGCAUCUUGCUCUUACGGGUGGCGAGUGGCGGACGGUUGAGGAAUACAUCUGCACUUACUUUUUCGUAGGGGCUACCGUAGGCAAACUAAUGCUGAUCCCGCCUACCACCUACGGGUGAAAGCAGGUGAUCUUUGGCCCUUACGCGCUUGCCUGAGCCGCUGUCGGUUUAUCUAGUUGGCGGGGUAAAGACCCACCAAGGCGACGAUCCGUACCUGGUUUGAGAGGACGACCAGCCACACUGGCACUGAGACACGGCCCAGACGCCUACGGGAGGCAGCAGUGGGGAAUAUUGGACAAUGGGCGCAAGCCUGAUCCAGCCAUGCCACGUGUGUGAAGAAGGCCUUCGGGUUGUAAAGCACUUUUGUUGGGAAAGAAAAGCAUCAGGCUAAUACGCAGCGGUGAUGACGGUACCCGAAGAAUAAGCACCGGCUAACUUCGUG
rnacentral:rRNA from 1 species